AUGGCACCAACUUCUUUGAGAAGGAGUUUUUCUUCUUUCUGCCUGAUUGUCCCCCAUCCAUUCUUGUCUUUCAGGUCUCAACCCCAACACCAUCACCACCGUCUCAGUGGAUCUCUCCUGUACAGUGAGCUGUCACCUGAAACUAACAAGGAGGAUGUGUCUCCCAGCAAUCUGAGCUACAGUCAAAAGUGCAUGACCUACCAGCUUUGACAUGCCAACUUGGACCACAAUUUCUGGAAUAGUUGGAAAAAGUAUUGUAAUGUAGUCAUGUCCCUAUACUAUUUCGUUAAAAACUUCUAAAAUUCCACAGGGUACAUCUUUAAAGUGCUUUAACAUCCUCAGCAUGUAACACAUUGUAGUUUUUUAUUACUAUAGGAAAUGGACUCCUUGUUCUUUCAACCCUUUGUCUCUCUCAUUGGAUUUUUAAAAAUAUAUGAGGUACUCACUCUUCUUUCUUAUAACUACUCUUUCUUUCUUCUGAUUAGUAUAAUUAGGAAAAGUAUAUUUAUGAAAAAAUCAACUAAUUUAUAAAUAUACAUUUACUUUGUAGAUAACUAAAUUUGGAAAUAGAAAACUCCUCUCCCUGUGAUGUCUGUCCUGUUUGAACACAGAUGCAGCAUGAGAAGGAAAACUUCAGUCUUUGGGACUCACCAAGCUCUGUGCUGCCUUUGCCUCUGAUUUUGAUGAUGCUCUCUUCUCUCACGUUCCCUUUUGUCUGAUUAGCUUUUAUGUAUCCCUCAGGACAUAGACUCUGUGCCAUCUCACUAGGAAGGAGAACAGGAACACUUGGCUGAAUCAACCAGGUUAGUUGGAGACACCCUUAUUAAUUCUUCAGCCAAAUUAACCAUACACCAGUAUUAUUUUUGUUGACUAAUAUUCUUUUUUAUUAAUGUCAUUUGUUUAGUCAUGUUCAUUAAACUCAUAGAAUAUCAUAAAAAGGAUAGUCCUAGGUAGUAAGAAAUGAUAACAAAUAAAUAGAUAAAGUUAUUGCUUUCA
rnacentral:lncRNA from 1 species